rnacentral:lncRNA from 1 species
GUUGGAGAAUAUGCUGAUUAAAUCUCGUUGUAAACACGAAAUUUCACGAAGCGCAAAUAGGAAAAGAGACGAUUUAGCAGAUGGCUUAUCUCUUAGACGGGCGAAAAACUUUGGCUCGAAUCGUUACUUGCUCGUCGAAAUCCCAAAAACCGAUCGCCUUUCCAAUUCCGAUCCGAACUCUUAUAUCUAAGCUCAGGAUAACACUGACCUUUACCUUCACCCUUUACCCGGGAAAAGACGGGAUAUUUAUUCUUGAUGGUCGAUCAUUCGAUGCCAUUUUCUCGUAAAUUUCACACGAUGUCUGCGAGUAUUAUUUCGUUAUAACUUAUAUCAGACAAAAAGUCCAC